rnacentral:tRNA from 1 species
CAAAUUAUCCUUUAGAAGGAAUUGUUAUUUACAAUAAUAAUUAUAAUUGUGCAAUUCAAUUUAAUUUGA